GACGAACGCUGGCGGCGUGCUUAACACAUGCAAGUCGAACGGAAAGGCCUCUUUCGGGGGGUACUCGAGUGGCGAACGGGUGAGUAACACGUGAGUAACCUGCCCUUGACUUUGGGAUCACUUCAGGAAACUGGGGCUAAUACCGGAUAGGAGCUCCUGCUGCAUGGUGGGGGUUGGAACGUUUCGGCGGUUGGGGAUGGACUCGCGGCUUAUCAGCUUGUUGGUGGGGUAGUGGCUUACCAAGGCUUUGACGGGUAGCCGGCCUGGGAGGGUGACCGGCCACAAUGGGUCUGAGAUACGGCCCAGACUCCUACGGGAGGCAGCAGUGGGGAAUAGUGCACAAUGGGUGGAAGCCUGAUGCAACAACGCCGAGUGCGGGAUGACGGCCUUCGGGUUGUAAACCGCUUUCGCUCAUGACGAAGCUUUGUGUGACGGUAGUGGGUAAAGGAGCACCGGCUAACUACGUG
rnacentral:rRNA from 1 species